AAUUUUGGACAAUGGGGGAAACCCUGAUCCAGCAAUGCCGCGUGCAGGAUGAAGGCCUUCGGGUUGUAAACUGCUUUUUUACGGAACGAAAAGUCUUGGGCUAAUACCCUGGGAACAUGACGGUACCCUCAGUAUAAGCACCGGCGAAAUACGUGCCAGCAGCCGAGGUAAUACGUAGGGUGCAAGCGUUAAUCGGAAUUACUGGGCGUAAAGCGUGCGCAGGCGGUUUUGUAAGACAGUGGUGAAAUCCCCGGGCUCAACCUGGGAACUGCCAUUGUGACUGCAAGGCUGGAGUGCGGCAGAGGGGGAUGGAGUUCCGCGUGUAGCAGUGAAAUGCGUAGAUAUGCGGAGGAAAACCGAUGGCGAAGGCAAUCCCCUGGGCCUGCACUGACGCUCAUGCACGAAAGCGUGGGGAGCAAACAGG
rnacentral:rRNA from 1 species